CUAGAAACAGAAAUUCCAUUUGACCCAGUAAUCCCAUUACUGAGUGUAUAUCCAAAGGAUUAUAAAUCAUUCUAUGAUAAAGACACAUGCACAUGUAUGUUCGUUACGACACUGUUUACAGGCUAGACCUGGAAUCAACCUCUGUCUAGUCAGGCCCUCAAUUGAUUGGAUGUCAGCCCACUUUGAUAAGGGCGUAUCUUCUUUAUUGAGACUACUGAUUCAAAGCCCAAUCUCCCCCAGAAACACUCUGAGGCACACACCCAGAGUAAUGCUUUACCAGCUAUCUGGAUAUCCCUUAACCCAGUCAAGUUGACACAUAAAAUUAUCCAUCACACCCAGUGACCUCAGGAAGUUGAUAAAAGAGCCAAGGUUGGAAUCUAGAUCUAUUUUCACGUCCCUUCCACUUAUCAUUUAUAGGCUCUUCGGAGUCUUUCUAAUGGAGAUGAAAAAUGGGGGAGAAACCUGAUUUUUAUUUUUCCUGUAUGUUUUGUGGAGAGUUGAAAUGUUGAAACAUAUUUCAGAUGGUAAUAAUAAUGUUAAUGUAGCUUGGUGCUCUGAAACCUUGCUUCAAACCCACUUGGUCACUCAACACAGUGGUGGUGGUUUGCCCUUUGUAGGUGCCUCAUAAACAUUUAUCAAAAGUAUGUGUCAGAAAAUGGGCUAGAGAUUUCUAAUAAAGUGUGAAUUUUUUUUUUUUUUUUUGCAAAAACCCUCCUGAUGUACACCAUCAAGAUGCUUAUCAUAAAACAGUAACACUAGUGAGUUCCCAUUGUGUGUCAGGCACCAUACGACAUGUCUUACAACAGUCUUUUUCCAAGCGGGGUUCCCAGACCGGCAGCAUGAGCAUCGCCUGAGAACUCAUUAGGAAUGUAGAUUCUCUGACUCUACCUCAGACCUAUUGAAUAAAAAACCUGGAGGAUGAACCCAGUAAUUGGUGUCUUCACCUUCCAGGUGAUAUAGAUGCCUGCUGAACUUUGAGAACCAUUGCUUUGUUUGCAUUCUCUAACUUAAUCUGCAAGUCAAUAAAGUAGAUACUGUUAUCCACCUCAGAUUGCAAAAGUUGAAACUGAGGCGUGGGAGGCUGAGCUACUUGCUCAAUAUAGUUCUAAAUGUAGCUUCUAAAGGAGGAUUCCGGUUUCAAAUUCAGAUCACCUAAUCCAGAGCCCCACUAGGCCACAGUGACCUGUAUAAUGUCUUUUCAUAUGCACAGGGGCCAUGUGCUUUAAGGCAACACUGUCCAAUAUGGCAUGUGUCCAUUUAGAUUUUAAAAAGUGCUUCCUUAGCAGCACUUUGAAGUACCCCAUGGUUUCAUGUGGCUAAUGCCUGUCACAGUGGAUAAAUGCAGAUGGAGAACAUCUCUGUCAUAGAACCGUCUAUGGAUACUGCUGCUUCAGUAUUUAGUGUACUGGUUUUGCUUGUAAUAGGUCAAAUACGUAAAGUUCAGGACUCUUUCUGGAGAGUUCUUCAACUGGACAAUUCAUGAAGACAGUAAAAGGAUUACUUGAGAAUGACCAUAUAGCUUGCCAAACAACAUUAAAUAAUAAGAGCUAUUACAGUAUGUAUUAUGUACUUGCCAUAUACUGAGCACUUUGUAAGUGUAUUUAUGUUCAGUAUCUUAUUUAAUGUUUCUAUCAGCUCUAUAAGAUAGAAACUAUUCAUACCAGUUUUUCAAGUAACCUUCAGCGACUUGCCAAAAGUCACACAUUUAUUUUAUCUGUAGUUUCUCCUAAUUAAGAACUAAGAAAUCUCCCUUAACUACUGUGCUUAAGGGAGUGUCUGCCGCUUCUCACUGAGUCUAGAAUCUUCUCCAAGUACUUGUGAUACUCUCUUGUGUGUCCCAUCAUAUUCUUAGCCCUCACUCUUCCUCCCUGCCUCCUUUCCUCCUCCCCUCUGCUUAUUUUAAUGCUUUUACAAUUAUUCCCUCAAACAUUCUUCAUUGUACACAGAGGAGUCUUUAGUUUGCUUUCAAAUGCAGCCUUUGAUUUCUUUCAGCUCGCCCUGUCAAGUGUUGUGUGCCCGUAUUACUAUUUAAAGGGAAUAACUCUGCAUGUGACAAUUCUUGGUCUCUUUCUCUUUAACACAAGGACUCUGUGUGUGUUCUCAUUGGCUGUGUGUCCUCCCUAUGUGAUCGGCAUUCUCUUUUCAGUCUGUCAACUGGAUGCGUCUUUUCAAAUGUUUUGGCUGGGAAGAGUCAAUCUCUCCCUGAGAUUAAGCUGAAAACAAAUUGCCUAUCGCUAGCACUUAACAUUUUCCAACCCCUUUCAAACCACCCCCCUUUAGAAGAACAACAGGAAGGCUUCACUGUUAAUCAUUUUAAGUCCUCAUAUGUUAACUCUUAACAAUUCUGUUAUAUUGGCCAGGCAGGGAUUAUCUUGUUUCUCUAGGAAGGAAACUGAGUUUCAGGGCUUUGGUGACUUUAUCCUCAGAUACGUAAUUCAGAAUUAUGACAGAUGUUUGUGUGGGCACUGAGGAAAUGCAAUAUGACUACAGUUUAGAGGAGGACACACAGAGAUGCCAACUAGCAAAUACUGGGUGCACGUGGGAAUGAGUAAUUCACAAGAAUGUUCAAGGAAGGAAUAUGAUCGAUAUGGGAUAGGAGAAAGGGCUUUUCAAUAAAAAGUAGGACACAGAAACAUGAGAGCAUUUAGGGAAAAGCAAAUCUAUACAAUAUGUGGACAAGAUUAGAAUGGAAAUAUCAUAUGAAAUUAUAUUUUAUUAUUCUUUUUUACCAAAAAUAUAACUGGCAGUUCUGUGAGGAUUCACCUGAUAUACUCAGUGAACAAGCAUUUGUGGAGUGCCUGUUUUGCAGGUACCAUUCAAGCACCAAGAAUUAGAAAUGACACAUAGUCUCCACCCUCAGGCUCCUUGUCCAAGUGGAGAUGGACACUGGAGGCCAGUGAGAGGUCGAAUAGGAAUUAUAACCAACGUCUUCUGAGUCUUGUCCUCUACUGUGCAUUAGCUGUGGCAUUAUCUCUUCAUAACUUGAAAUGUGGCUGCUAGAUGUUGCAAUCACUUAGCAGUCUUUGAAUAAAUAAAAUAUUUAAUAUUUGAUGUAACCGUGUUGGCUCUAUGGAAUGCAAACUCCUUUUUUAAUAGGCCCUCCUCACUUCUACCCACCGAUGCACAUAGUGAAGCAGGCCUACGGUCGUCAUUUUCUUCUAAGCGUUUCUGAAAAUCAAAUGAUGUGACUUUAUUUCACUCUAUUUAGGUUAAAAUGGUCCGAUUUUACAGAUUUUCCUUUUUUUGAGUAAUGUAUAAGCAUACAGGCUCUUCCUGGGAAAAAGCCACGUCCCAGUUCAUAUCUGUAAAUGCAGUGCGGAAGAAGUGCUGUGUGCCUGGCCUUUACCACCAGAUCUCCCCACACCAGCCUGUUCUGUAGGGAAACCCACUGAGAGCAAUGGUCAGUUCCAAUAAGUAGGCUGCUCAGAGAGUUCCCUGAGUUUGCAGUAGCCUUUCCUCAAAAGAGGCUUCUGCAAUGAUUUUCUUUUUUUUAAUGAGAGAAUCUGUGGCUUAUCCAGACAUGACUGCGGGAACCAGUCCUGGGGAGGGAAGUGUUCCCACCAUGAACCAGACGGCCAGUGAGCAAGAAAAGUGUUGUUCCUCAGCAAUAUUCUAGAAUAAAGUUCCUCCACUGAGGGAGGAGGUUAAGUACUCAUGAGGAUGAAGGCCACGAAAUUAUUUUAUUAUAGUUUCCUCUCCUGGGUCCCUUACAGAAAAAUUAACAAAUAGAAUUUCUGAGGUUGCUGAUUCCUCAGUGAAGUAUUAUUCUUUCACUUUUUCUGUGCCUUCCUUUUCUACUUGCUGUUUUCUGGUCAUAUUGAAAGCUCCUUCAUGCAUAAAGGUCAUUUGCUUUUGCCUCUGGGGCAUCCUAAUUCAUCUCUUCCCCCUUCCCUGUAUCUAGGUCAUUGCCCAGUUUAGCUGCUGCUGCCGUUUCUCUUCUCUAUUGCUUUUCCUGCUUAGUUGCUAGAGAAACAAACAAACAACACAAACCCUCUCCUGAGCCCUUUUCAGCUUUGGCACUCUUCUAGCCUGGUGCCUCAGAACUCCCGCCCACGCUGUCCUUGCUGUUUGUCACGUGGCAAAUGUUCCUGUCGAGCUUUUCCCUGCCUCCCAUGUAGGUUUCAUUACUUUCUUCCAUGGUCUCCCUUGAUGUCUAACGCUGCACACUUAUAUUGUAACUGAGUGUGUCUUGUGCUCCUCCUCUCUCUUGCUAUUCUGCAAAGGCUACCACUGUGUGUCUCACUCUUAACCACUGUCAGUCCCGUUGUUCUUUCUGCGCCAGCCACCAUCGAGACUUCCAUUCUGCACUUUCAUGCAUGUCUCACGCCUGCAACUUCAUGUUCACCAAACCAUGUGUUCCUCCAUGCUCCUCUAGUGACGACAGGACAUUCUCAUGCUCCUUUGAUGUACUGGCAUAUUGACGUGUUGAAGUAAAUGAAGGGGCUUUGCCUUUAGAUCCAUAUUAAUACCAAAUUAACAACCUCUGUAUAAAGCAGAGGGUUGCUUCCCUAUCUCACUCUACUUCCUCCCCAAAUAUGUACAAAUACAUAGAGAACCCUUAUUGUAUUUAUUGUUCAGAUUUUUGUCACUUUACACAUAGAUUUGCCAUGAAGUUUUUUUGUCAGAGACUGCCAACUAUCUCCCAGUAUCUAUUCUCUUCUUUCUCCUUUUGAAAUGAGAGUUCCCUGAUACCUCUCGCAGGAUGUGUGACAGGGGUGUGGCUCACCUGUUUGGUCACCCCACUGCUCAAAUCCCUAGCUAGGGCAGGAGCAUACAGAUGGGCAGGUACAGGGCCCAGGGACAGCGCUUUGGGUCUGGCCCCACAGUAGUGUCUAGGGGUGGGUACUUGCAACCCCAGUGCUACAGUGCUCUUUCAGCUUUGCCAUUGCAGACAGCUUGAGUGUUAACCAGCUCAAUGGACCCUCUGCCUUGUUGCAGGGACAGGAUUCCAAUGUCAUAGCCUUCUGUAUCCCAAGCUCUUGCCCAGUGUCCUGGAAGAAUCGGGUAAUACACAGGCUUGAGGAUGAAUGCAAGAUUUUAUUGAGUGAUGGAGGUGGCCCUCAGUGAGAUGGAUAGGGAGCUGGAAGAAUGGGAUGGAAUGGGAACGUGAUUUUCCCCUGGAGUUGGGCUUACCAGCAGCUGGACUCCUUUCUGACUGUCCCCAGCCAAACUUCUCUUGGCAUUCAGAUGUUCCCCCUCUUCUCUUUUUCUCUGCUGUGCUGUUCCACUGUCCAUCUGCUGGUGUGCUGGUUUGCUGGUCUGCCCCUGGAGCCCAGGGUUCAAGGCUUAUAUGGGUGCAGGAUAGGGAUGCAGCCUUUGGGGCAUAAAAACAGGAAUGCCUGUUCUCAUUUAGGGCCACAGGUAUCCAGGCUUGAGGGUGGGGCCUUUGCAGGGAGAUCACCCUCUUCUACCCAGUAUUUCCCUGUCUCCUGUCCUUAUCACUUUUUAGUAAUAAAACCUUCACUCUGAAUUUUAUCAGCGCACAUAGCCCCAGGUAGAGACUAAAUUUCCCAGCCUACCCAAGAUAUGGGCCUGUAAAUUAGCUCUAGCCAAUGGGAUAUGAGCGAAAGUGAUUUGUGCAAUUUCAGAGUCACAUCUUUUUUAAAGCAAAGUGCUCCUCUUUGUCCACACAUUCUGGAACAGCAUGUUUGACCCAUUGCUGAAAGCCAUAAAGAAAAGACGGACAGAGUCAACCCCUCAGCCUGGGUUUCUGGCCUCAGCAAGCACAGCUACCUUUCCACCCUGGAUUACUCACCUACCUCUGGACUGUUGUGUGAGGAAAUGUUUAUCAUAUGUAAGCUACUUUGUCUUGAGAUCUCUGGGUUCCAAUACUUUAGGUACUGCUCCAACUAAUAUACUAAUCUUACUACACUGUCUGAUGUCUUCUCUUCAACUGGAUUGCUUCAAUUCAGUGCAACCAACAUUUUCUGAGAGCCUUCUCUGUGCUGAGGCAGUGAGUAGUUCUCCAGGUAUGGUCCCCAGACAACAUCAGAGUCACCUGGGAACUCAUUAGAUAUGCAUAUCUGCAGACUCCACCCCACACCUACUGAAUGAGAAGCUCUAGGGGUAGGGAUCAGUAAUCAAUUUUAAUAAACCCUUCAGGUGAUCUAGAUGUACAGAUGUUUGAGAAUGAUUGUGCUGGGAUGAAGUGGGUCGGGGGUGGGGGCAGCACUAAAAAUGAAUAAAAACUAGCUUCUAUCCUGAAGGAGUUUACGUUGGGGAGACAGAGAGACACAGAUAGAUAAUGUUAUGAAAACAUAAUGAUUAUCUUGACUUUCUGCUAUUUCCUGCUCCUGUUUUCAUCAGAUUAACUCACAAUAAUUUAGCCUAUAUUGUUUUAGUUUUUAUAUGUGAUUAUUUAUAAACAGCCUAAAAUUUUAGGCCAUUUUGGUCUGUGCAAAUCCUAAAAGGGGAAAUAAUUGAAGUUACAUUGGUAGCAGAGUGAACAGAGAUUUGAUCACCAAUAUUAGAAUCUUAGAAUUGAUGAGGAUUUACUGAAACCGAGAAAGACAAGAAUGGGGUGUUACUUUUCACAGUGGGUAGUAAAAUUACGGUACUUAUUACCCUGUAAAGGGUUAUAUGGCCUAGAAAUAAAAACAGUUGAGCAUUGAUUAGAUCUAUGAGUGAGAAAGUCGUGAAAUUCUAAUAAGCAUGAGUUAGGAAUGUUCAAACUAUUUCUGAAAGUGUCUGAUAUCAAUAUCAUAGAAGGAAACCAUCCGCUUUGCUGUCACCACCUCUCAUUAUGAUCUUCAGUGUUCGGAACACUAGUCCAGACCUGGCUAGACUAAUGUGGUAUUGGUUGUGGGCUGGAAAGUAGACUGUGUGAGAAUAAAGACUCUUGUCCCUAAUGUGUUUUGUGGAAAACCUGUGAACACUUCAGAUUUGAUAGACGUUAAACGUAGAGACAAUAAGGGAGACAAUGAAUGCAACUCAUAAAAGAAAAUGAUUUGAGAUUAAAGCCAGUUUGCCAUUAUUCUUAUUAACAAGAGACAACCGAGAUAAUUGAAACCUGUAGAUAAUCCAAAACCUAAAUAAAAUAUUAUUAUUACUGUACAUAGCAAACUGAUCUAAUGUCUUUGGCAUAGGAGCCAAAUACUUUGGACAGUGCUAACAUGAUGAAGAAGAAUUAGCACAUUCAAAAUUUAGCCAAACCUGGGACUUAGUGAAUCUAUAAUAGGUUCUUUGUGGUAAUGAAGACAUGGCAGCUGGCAUUGCCCUACUUCCUCCAAAUUACGUGACUCUUUAAAAAAAAAGGUUUAAUUUCCCCACCUACUGUUAGGAACUCAAAGGUCUUUCUGCAUAGGCUAAAAAUUAUUUUAACUUUGGCUCAUACAUUUUUUAAAUCCUGCAGUGUCUUUAAACUACUCUCAGUUUGGUAAAACACAGCCACUUUAUUUCUUCUUCUCCCUUCUUUUUUCUUUUAAGAACUCUUCAUCCAUCUUCUUUCCAAAAAUACUGUGAAUCAGAAUUUCUAUUCCAAAUAAUUUGGAAUCAAAAGUAUUCAACAGUCUGGAGGGAAAUGAAUUUCUAUUGCAUUUUUAUUGAGAGAAAAUUGAACUGUGUGAGCAGGCUACAGAGAGACUCCUCUGUAAGGCUUCAGCAUGCCCCACUGUUGCUCCCAGAAAGGACUCAUGUUACAAGAAUUACACCUGUGAUCUGCUUCUAUUGACUGGCUGGGCCCAACAGGUCCUUGGACAUUGCCAGACAGGUUAACUCCUUCUUGAGCCUCACGAACCUUCCACAAGAGGGCUUAAAUGGCUCCCAUAGGUCUCUGUCUUUCUUCUUGUAACUUUCAAAUAUUUUCCUAAUAUGAAGAAGUGUUUGAUAAACUAUAACCAUAUUUCAUCUUCACAAACCUCUAUAAUACAUAAGAAUUACUGUCCCCAUUUUACAGACAAGUUUUCCCUAUUUUGUUACCAACUUAUCUGUUUAUUGCAGUUGAAAUUUGUACCAUAAAUUACUAUCCUUUUAAAAAAUCUUACGUGUUCUUGUUUAUAAGUGUCUUGGAAUACAGAUUUUUGCAAAA